rnacentral:misc_RNA from 1 species
GAUGAAGAACGUAGCGAAAUGCGAUAAGUAGUGUGAAUUGCAGAAUUCAGUGAAUCAUCGAAUCUUUGAACGCACAUUGCGCCCUUUGGAAUUCCAAAGGGCAUGCCUGUUCGAGCGUCAUUUGUACCCUCAAGCUUUGCUUGGUGUUGGGCGUCUUGUCUCUAGCUUUGCUGGAGACUCGCCUUAAAGUAAUUGGCAGCCGGCCUACUGGUUUCGGAGCGCAGCACAAGUCGCACUCUCUAUCAGCAAAGGUCUAGCAUCCACUAAGCCUUUUUUUCAACUUUAGACCUCGGAUCAGGUAGGGAUACCCGCUGAACUUAAGCAUAUCAAUAAGCGAAGGA